rnacentral:tRNA from 1 species
GCAGUUAUGGCCGAGUGGUUAAGGCGAUGGACUAGAAUUCCAUUGAAGUUUCCCCGCACAGGUUCGAAUCCUGUCGACUGCG